AUACGGAGGGUGCAAGCGUUAUUUGGAAUCACUGGGCGUAAAGGACGCGUAGGCGGGUUGGCAAGUCAGAUGUGAAAUCCUACAGCUUAACUGUAGAACUGCAUUUGAAACUGCUAACCUAGAGUAUGGGAGGGGGAGAUGGAAUUAGUGGUGUAGGGGUAAAAUCCGUAGAUAUCACUAGGAAUACCGAAAGCGAAGGCGAUCUCCUGGAACAUAACUGACGCUAAGGCGUGAAAGCGUGGGGAGCAAACAGGAUUAGAAACCCUAGUAGUCC
rnacentral:rRNA from 1 species